rnacentral:rRNA from 1 species
GAUGAACGCUGGCGGCGUGCUUAACACAUGCAAGUCGAACGAAGCACUUUAACCUGAUUCUUCGGAUGAAGGUUUUUGUGACUGAGUGGCGGACGGGUGAGUAACGCGUGGGUAACCUGCCUCAUACAGGGGGAUAACAGUUAGAAAUGACUGCUAAUACCGCAUAAGACCACAGAGCCGCAUGGCUCGGUGGGAAAAACUCCGGUGGUAUGAGAUGGACCCGCGUCUGAUUAGGUAGUUGGUGGGGUAACGGCCUACCAAGCCAACGAUCAGUAGCCGACCUGAGAGGGUGACCGGCCACAUUGGGACUGAGACACGGCCCAAACUCCUACGGGAGGCAGCAGUGGGAAUAUUGCACAAUGGGGGAAACCCUGAUGCAGCGACGCCGCGUGAGCGAAGAAGUAUUUCGGUAUGUAAAGCUCUAUCAGCAGGGAAGAAAAUGACGGUACCUGACGAAGAAGCACCGGCUAAAUACGUG